UACAGAGGUCUCAAGCGUUGUUCGGAUUCACUGGGCGUAAAGGGUGCGUAGGCGGUCGGGUAAGUCUGACGUGAAAUCUUCAAGCUCAACUUGGAAACUGCGUCGGAUACUAUUCGGCUAGAGGAAUGGAGGGGAGACUGGAAUACUUGGUGUAGCAGUGAAAUGCGUAGAUAUCAAGAGGAACACCAGUGGCGAAGGCGAGUCCCUGGACAACACCUGACACUGAGGCACGAAAGCUAGGGGAGCAAACAGG
rnacentral:rRNA from 1 species